rnacentral:lncRNA from 1 species
AAGAGCUGCUCGUGUUACUCACGUGAGGUCCGUAGUAGGCGUUACAAACAGGUGAGAGAGGGAGUUGGUCCCAAGUCUCUUGGGUGUGCACUGAUGCUCGUGAGGAGAGGGUGUGAGUUCUAUUGGCUUCUGAGUCCCCCCUGUCUCGAGGCCCCUGGUCCUCCUUUUAUAGCGCAAGGAGAACAUAGGAGUUACAGGUGAGCCAGACCUCAGGAGAAGUAAAAGAGAUAAGCUAAGUAAAGUAAAACACAGGGGGAGGGACCAAGUCCCCGCGUCGCCGCCUUCCUUUCCA